UACGUAGGCAGCAAGCGUUGUUCGGAGUUACUGGGCGUAAAGGGCGCGUAGGCGGCCCGCUAAGUCGAACGUGAAAUCCCCGAGCUCAACUCGGGAACUGCGUCCGAUACUGGUGGGCUUGAAUCCGGGAGAGGGAUGCGGAAUUCCAGGUGUAGCGGUGAAAUGCGUAGAUAUCUGGAGGAACACCGGUGGCGAAGGCGGCAUCCUGGACCGGCAUUGACGCUGAGGCGCGAAAAGCUAGGGGAGCAAAACGGGG
rnacentral:rRNA from 1 species